UUCAGAAUGAUAGUCCAUACAAAUGAUAAUUUAUUUGUAAGAAUAUAAUAGGGAAAUUAUUUUACAAUUUACAAACUCAAUCCAAAGGUAGAGGAAAAUAUAGCAUAAAAGAUAAAACCACAUAUAAUAGGAAUGUAAAAACAUGAGUAGAGGUGGAUAUUGCUCUGUCUGUCCAAAACUAAUUGGUAUCCACAUGCUUAAUAAUCCUAUCAACAAAAGUUCAAAUAAAUAA
rnacentral:lncRNA from 1 species